rnacentral:misc_RNA from 1 species
AACGCACAUUGCGCCCCUUGGUAUCCCGAGGGGCAUGCCCGUUCGAGCGUCAUUAUAACCCCUCAAGCCUAGCUUGGUGUUGGGGCCUGCUGUUACCGGCAGCCCUUAAAAUCAGUGGCGGUGCCAUCUGGCUCUAAGCGUAGUAAUACUUCUCGCUACAGGGUCCCGGUGGAUGCUUGCCAUCAACCCCUAAUUUUCUAUAGUUGACCUCGGAUCGGGUAGGGAUACCCGCUGAACUUAA